GACGAACGCUGGCGGCGUGCCUAAUACAUGCAAGUAGAACGCUGAAGGAGGAGCUUGCUUCUCUGGAUGAGUUGCGAACGGGUGAGUAACGCGUAGGUAACCUGCCUGGUAGCGGGGGAUAACUAUUGGAAACGAUAGCUAAUACCGCAUAAGAGUAGAUGUCGCAUGACAUUUGCUUAAAAGGUGCAAUUGCAUCACUACCAGAUGGACCUGCGUUGUAUUAGCUAGUUGGUGAGGUAACGGCUCACCAAGGCAACGAUACAUAGCCGACCUGAGAGGGUGGUCGGCCAGACUGGGACUGAGACACGGCCCAGACGCCUACGGGAGGCAGCAGUAGGGAAUCUUCGGCAAGGGACGGAAGUCUGACCGAGAAACGCCGCGUGAGGGAAGAAGGUUUUCGGAUCGUAAAGCUCUGUUGUAAGGGAAGAACGAGUGUGAGAGUGGAAAGUUCACACUGUGACGGUAACUUACCAGAAAGGGACGGCUAACUACGUG
rnacentral:rRNA from 1 species